rnacentral:rRNA from 1 species
UGAACGCUAGCGGCAGGCCUAAUACAUGCAAGUCGAGCGGCAAGUUGAGAAGCAAUUCGAGACCUAGAGCGGCGUACGGGUGCGUAACGCGUAUGCAACCUACCUCAUACAGGGGGGAUAGCCCGGAGAAAUCUGGAUUAAUACCCCAUGGUACAGCACGAGGGCAUCUGAGUGUUGUUAAAGAUUCAUCGGUAUGAGAUGGGCAUGCGUCUGAUUAGCUAGUUGGCGGUGUAACGGACCACCAAGGCGACGAUCAGUAGGGGUUCUGAGAGGAAGGUCCCCCACACUGGCACUGAGAUACGGGCCAGACUCCUACGGGGAGGCAGCAGUAGGGAAUAUUGGGCAAUGGUCGGAAGACUGACCCAGCCAUGCCGCGUGCAGGAAGACGGCGUUCUGCGUUGUAAACUGCUUUUAUCUGGGAAGAAAAGGCCCAUGCGUGGGACAUUGCCGGUACCAGAUGAAUAAGCACCGGCUA